AUUGAACGCUGGCGGCAUGCCUAACACAUGCAAGUCGAACGAAUGGCGGACGGGAGAGUACUGCAUGGGCCUCUAGCUUAUGGAGGGCGAUAACUACGGGAAACUGUAGCUAAUACCGCGUACCAUAGGAUGAGCCCAAGUGGGAUUAGGUAGUUGGUGAGGUAAAGGCUCACCAAGGCGACGAUCUCUAGUUGGUCUGAGAGGAUGACCAGCCACAAUGGGACUGAGACACGGCCCAGACUCCUACGGGAGGCAGCAGUGGGGAAUUUUGGACAAUGGGGGAAACCCUGAUGCAGCCAUGCCGCGUGUAUGAAGAAGGCCUUCGGGUUGUAAAGUUCUUUUGGCAGGGAAGCGGUAACUACAGAAUAAGCACCGGCUAACUCCGUGCCAGCAGCCGCGGUAAUUC
rnacentral:rRNA from 1 species